rnacentral:rRNA from 1 species
UACGAAGGGGGCUAGCGUUGCUCGGAAUCACUGGCGUAAAGGGUGCGUAGGCGGGAUCUUAAGUCAGAGGUGAAAGCCUGGAGCUCAACUCCAGAACUGCCUUUGAUACUGGAUUCUUGAGUUCGGGAGAGGUGAGCGGAACUGCGAGUGUAGAGGUGAAAUUCGUAGAUAUUCGCAAGAACACCAGUGGCGAAGGCGGCUCACUGGCCCGAUACUGAACGCUGAGGCACGAAAAGCGUGGGUAGCAAACAGGG